rnacentral:rRNA from 1 species
GACGAACGCUGGCGGCGUGCCUAAUACAUGCAAGUCGAGCGAGCGGAACUAACAGAUUUACUUCGGUAAUGACGUUAGGAAAGCGAGCGGCGGACGGGUGAGUAACACGUGGGGAACCUGCCCCAUAGUCUGGGAUACCACUUGGAAACAGGUGCUAAUACCGGAUAAGAAAGCAGAUCGCAUGAUCAGCUUUUAAAAGGCGGCGUAAGCUGUCGCUAUGGGAUGGCCCCGCGGUGCAUUAGCUAGUUGGUAAGGUAAAGGCUUACCAAGGCGAUGAUGCAUAGCCGAGUUGAGAGACUGAUCGGCCACAUUGGGACUGAGACACGGCCCAAACUCCUACGGGAGGCAGCAGUAGGGAAUCUUCCACAAUGGACGCAAGUCUGAUGGAGCAACGCCGCGUGAGUGAAGAAGGUUUUCGGAUCGUAAAGCUCUGUUGUUGGUGAAGAAGGAUAGAGGUAGUAACUGGCCUUUAUUUGACGGUAAUCAACCAGAAAGUCACGGCUAACUACGUG